UACGAAGGGGGCUAGCGUUGUUCGGAAUUACUGGGCGUAAAGCGUAUGCAGGCGGAUCGUUAAAGUCGGGGGUGAAAUCCCGAGGCUCAACCUCGGAACUGCCUUCGAUACUGGCGACCUUCGAGUCCGGGAGAGGUGAGUGGAACUCCGAGUGUAGAGGUGAAAUUCGUAGAUAUUCGGAAGAACACCAGUGGCGAAGGCGGCUCACUGGCCCGGUACUGACGCUGAGAUACGAAAGCGUGGGGAGCAAACAGG
rnacentral:rRNA from 1 species